UACGUAGGGUGCGAGCGUUAAUCGGAAUUACUGGGCGUAAAGCGUGCGCAGGCGGUUUUGUAAGCCAGAUGUGAAAUCCCCGGGCUUAACCUGGGAAUGGCAUUUGGGACUGCAAGGCUUGAGUGCGGCAGAGGAGACUGGAAUUCCUGGUGUAGCAGUGAAAUGCGUAGAUAUCAGGAGGAACACCGAUGGCGAAGGCAGGUCUCUGGGCUGACACUGACGCUCAUGCACGAAGCGUGGGGAGCAAACAGG
rnacentral:rRNA from 1 species